rnacentral:rRNA from 1 species
UACGGAGGGGGCUAGCGUUGUUCGGAAUUACUGGGCGUAAAGCGCACGUAGGCGGCUUUGUAAGUUAGAGGUGAAAGCCCGGGGCUCAACUCCGGAAUUGCCUUUAAAACUGCAUCGCUAGAAUUGUGGAGAGGUAAGUGGAAUUCCGAGUGUAGAGGUGAAAUUCGUAGAUAUUCGGAAGAACACCGGUGGCGAAGGCGACUUACUGGACACAUAUUGACGCUGAGGUGCGAAAGCGUGGGGAGCAAACAGG